UCAGUACUUAUAAAAAUGGUUGGAUCAGCUUCAGCAUUAUCUUUACCUUUCACUUGAUAUACUGUAUAACUAUUUAGAUAAUAUUCAGUCCAACAAAAUCGAAUGAGAAAAGAAAAAGAGAUUAAAUCCAAUAGAAAAUAGAAAAAUAAUAAAUAAAGAAAAAAAUCUACCCAAACUAUAGCAGCAUCAUCUAACUAGAAAUCGUUAGAGCAUCUCCAUCGACGGAUCCAAAUGGGUGUCUAAAAGACAAAAAGUCCAAAAAAUAAAUCAAAACUAAGUAAAAUCAAUAGAUCCGGUUACAAUUUUGGACAUUAGAUCAGAUUUAGACUCGCAUACGUGUCAAUUAUUGGUUGAGGUUUUUGGGUCAUACAUGACAGGGCUUUAUCUUCCAACUAGUGAUAUAGAUGCCAUCAUCUAAAUGAGUCUCAAUAUCAUCAAAGAACAAAGGCAACUGAGUUUAGCUAGUAUUAAGAUUAAUGAUUAAUGAUUGUCGCCGUGAUGGCCGGAGUCGGAGAAAGUAGGGAGAGACGCAGCCGCUGGAUAUACAAUGUAGCCACCACCAUCAUUGCUUGUUACAUCUCUGCUAAUAUGGUUGUUGGGCUUCUGCGCAGGCCCAUUAGUGACUGCAUCGCGGUUAC